rnacentral:rRNA from 1 species
UAUUGGACAAUGGGGGCAACCCUGAUCCAGCAAUGCCGCGUGUGUGAAGAAGGUCUUCGGAUUGUAAAGCACUUUUGGCAGGGACGAUGAUGACGGUACCUGCAGAAUAAGCCCCGGCUAACUUCGUGCCAGCAGCCGCGGUAAUACGAAGGGGGCUAGCGUUGCUCGGAAUGACUGGUCGUAAAGGGCGUCUAGGCUACUGGGCACACAAACUCAGGUGUGAAAUUCCUGGGCUCAACCUGGGGACUGCAUUUGAUACUUGUGAGCUAAAGUGCAUAAGAGGGUUGUGGAAUUUCCUGUGUAAAAGUGAAAUUCAUAGAUAUUGGAAACAACACCAUUGGCGAAUACGGCAACCUGGUCUUUUACUGACGCUGAGGCCCUAAACCGUGGGGGACAAACAGGAUUAGAAACCCUGGUAGUCCACGCUGUUAACGAUGUGGGCUGGAUGUUGGGGAACUUAGUUACUCAGUGUCGUGGCUAACGCGAUAAUCACACCGCCUGGGGAGUACGGACGCAAGGUUGAAACUCAAAGCAAUUGACGGGUUAAAAUCAAAUGAAUUGA